AUUGAACGCUGGCGGCAUGCCUUACACAUGCAAGUCGAACGGUAACAGGUCUUCGGAUGCUGACGAGUGGCGAACGGGUGAGUAAUACAUCGGAACGUGCCCGAUCGUGGGGGAUAACGGAGCGAAAGCUUUGCUAAUACCGCAUACGAUCUACGGAUGAAAGCAGGGGACCGCAAGGCCUUGCGCGGACGGAGCGGCCGAUGGCAGAUUAGGUAGUUGGUGGGAUAAAAGCUUACCCAGCCGACGAUCUGUAGCUGGUCGGAGAGGACGACCAGCCACACUGGGACUGAGACAUGGCCCAGACUCCUGCGGGAGGCAGCAGUGGGGAAUUUUGGACAAUGGGCGAAAGCCUGAUCCAGCCAUGCCGCGUGCAGGAUGAAGGCCUUCGGGUUGUAAACUGCUUUUGUACGGAACGAAAAGCCUCUUUCUAAUAAAGAGAGGUCAUGACGGUACCGUAAGAAUAAGCACCGGCUAACUACGUGCCAGCAGCCGCAGUAAGAC
rnacentral:rRNA from 1 species